GGACUACACGGGUAUCUAAUCCCGUUUGCUCCCCUAGCUUUCGCGUCUCAGCGUCAGAAGACGUCCAGGACCUCGCUUUCGCCACGGGCGUUCCUUCCGAUCUCAACGCAUUUCACCGCUCCACCGGAAGUUCCAGGUCCCCCUACGUCCCUCCAGACAGGUCGUUUCGGCUCCACUUCCCCGGUUGAGCCGGGGGCUUUCAGUCACCGACGUUCCCAUCCGCCUACACGCGCUUUAAGCCCAGUGAUUCCGAAUAACGUUCGCACGGUUCGUCUUACCGCGGCGGCUGGCAC
rnacentral:rRNA from 1 species